rnacentral:rRNA from 1 species
CGGGACACGUGGUAUCCUGUCUGAAUAUGGGGGGACCAUCCUCCAAGGCUAAAUACUCCUGACUGACCGAUAGUGAACCAGUACCGUGAGGGAAAGGCGAAAAGAACCCCGGCGAGGGGAGUGAAAAAGAACCUGAAACCGUGUACGUACAAGCAGUGGGAGCCUCUUAAUGGGGUGACUGCGUACCUUUUGUAUAAUGGGUCAGCGACUUAUAUUCUGUAGCAAGGUUAACCGAAUAGGGGAGCCGAAGGGAAACCGAGUCUUAACUGGGCGUUAAGUUGCAGGGUAUAGACCCGAAACCCGGUGAUCUAGCCAUGGGCAGGUUGAAGGUUGGGUAACACUAACUGGAGGACCGAACCGACUAAUGUUGAAAAAUUAGCGGAUGACUUGUGGCUGGGGGUGAAAGGCCAAUCAAACCGGGAGAUAGCUGGUUCUCCCCGAAAGCUAUUUAGGUAGCGCCUCGUGAAUUCAUCUCCGGGGGUAGAGCACUGUUUCGGCAAGGGGGUCAUCCCGACUUACCAACCCGAUGCAAACUGCGAAUACCGGAGAAUGUUAUCACGGGAGACACACGGCGGGUGCUAACGUCCGUCGUGAAGAGGGAAACAACCCAGACCGCCAGCUAAGGUCCCAAAGUCAUGGUUAAGUGGGAAACGAUGUGGGAAGGCCCAGACAGCCAGGAUGUUGGCUUAGAAGCAGCCAUCAUUUAAAGAAAGCGUAAUAGCUCACUGGUCGAGUCGGCCUGCGCGGAAGAUGUAACGGGGCUAAACCAUGCACCGAAGCUGCGGCAGCGACGCUUAUGCGUUGUUGGGUAGGGGAGCGUUCUGUAAGCCUGUGAAGGUGUACUGUGAGGUAUGCUGGAGGUAUCAGAAGUGCGAAUGCUGACAUAAGUAACGAUAAAGCGGGUGAAAAGCCCGCUCGCCGGAAGACCAAGGGUUCCUGUCCAACGUUAAUCGGGGCAGGGUGAGUCGACCCCUAAGGCGAGGCCGAAAGGCGUAGUCGAUGGGAAACAGGUUAAUAUUCCUGUACUUGGUGUUACUGCGAAGGGGGGACGGAGAAGGCUAUGUUGGCCGGGCGACGGUUGUCCCGGUUUAAGCGUGUAGGCUGGUUUUCCAGGCAAAUCCGGAAAAUCAAGGCUGAGGCGUGAUGACGAGGCACUACGGUGCUGAAGCAACAAAUGCCCUGCUUCCAGGAAAAGCCUCUAAGCAUCAGGUAACAUCAAAUCGUACCCCAAACCGACACAGGUGGUCAGGUAGAGAAUACCAAGGCGCUUGAGAGAACUCGGGUGAAGGAACUAGGCAAAAUGGUGCCGUAACUUCGGGAGAAGG